AGAGUGGGAGGAGAAAGAAGCGGAGUAGGAGAAGACAGAAGAGGGGGAGGAGGCAGAAGCGGAGUGGGAGGAGACAGACGAGGGGGAGGAGACAGAAGUGGGGGAGAUAGAAGGUGGGGAGGAGAGAACAAAAGCCAGCUGUGACUAUCUCACCAAUAAUCCCAGCACACAGGAGGCUUGAGGCAAGAGGAUGGCUAUGAGUUUGAGGUCAGUGUGGCCUCUACAGUGAGUUCGAGAAGGUUCUCCCACACUCUCCUGCUUUACUGGUUUUUCAUUCUCGGCCCCUGUCCUAAAAGGUUCUGUUCUCUGCAUCUGCUGACAGGUCCUCUAGCUUGGUUCACCGUUCAUUGAAAUCUGGAAGACCAAGAAGCAAAAAUUCAAAAGUCAAAACGACCACAAAAGGCCGGAAAAAUGACUCCCAGCAUUGAGCUGCCUAUCCCACAAGAAGCGGGGUGACAAUUGACCUCAGUCACUCAGGAUCAGGGCCUGUCCCUGCGUCAGUACCUCAUGGGAUCAAAAUCACUCUCACUGCUCCCUGAAGACUUCCUCCCAGGAAGUUCAUGAGCUAUCAACCUCCCAGAUUUGACUUCCAGCCCUCUACUUACUGACUAUUGAAGGGAACAGAAAGCUGAGCCAAGCAGCAGACUUUGACCUGUUGAGACGUGCUCUUACCCAGGACACACUGCUUCAAGUACCAUUAUUCUUCAGCCCUGUGGAGCUUCCAUUUCAGAAGCAAUAGAAACCCUAAGACACCCACUCUACAAUCUUAUUUACAAAGCAAAUCCUCCGAAUGAUGCAACGUGAAAGGGUACUAUUCUUUACUAAGAACACAGAAACUUUGGUGGCAUCCCAGAAAUUCUGGAGUACAGAAGUGCUGAGAGCCCUGGUGAACGAGAAGACUGGAUAUUAAGACUGAACCAAUGCUGAGGGCCAACUUAAGGACAGCUGAGUUGUCUCUGCAUUCAACGAGCAAACCAGUCUUUGUGGCAUUAAUAGUAAGAUGCAGCAUCCAGCUAACCAUGCUGCAGAGCGCACACAUCCAGAUGGAAGCAUCUGGAUGGUGCACCGUGAUUGGACAAUUGUUCCUUUGGUGACUGGAACACCCUUUCUGCUUCUCACCCAGAGAAUGCUGGUGCGCAUGCAAGGAUGGGAAGAAGGGCAGCAUACUCCUGCUUUUGCUGGUGGAUGUACCUGGCUCCAAACUACACUAUACAAGGCAUGUUUGGGGGGCAGAGAUGAAAGUCAUGAGCGUGUGGAUACAGGGUAAUCCCUUCUUGAUGUAGGGGACACAUCUCCCAGGAAGUUAAACACAAUGAUCAAACUGACCAAAAGUUGGCAAUGUUUUCUUCCUUCCUUCCUGCCUCCUUUUCCCCUUUCCUUCCUUCUUUCUUCCACCUCUCCACUUCCUUUCUUUCCUUUUUUGCUCCACCUUCUUUUCUUUCUUAUUUCACAACAGUGUCCCACAGUACAGCCAUAGCUGGCCUUUCACUCAGCCUCUAUGCAGACAAGACUCAGAGAUCUUACUUCUGCCUCCCAAGUGCUAGGUAUAAAGGUGAGCACUGCCAUGCCCAGGAAGUUGGCUGCUUUUUGCUAUGCCAGCAGUUAUAAACAAUGCUGGUAGGAAAAUUAUCCUCCAAACUACCUCCAACUCCAACAAUCAAUUUGAUAACACAGUAUAAUAAUUUAUCCUUUAGUAAGCACUGUAUCCUGCACAUGUGGUAGUUUGGAGAAUUCCCAGUUGAAGCUCCACACAGUUGAUUCUUCUGUGACACUCCUUUUAGGAGAAAAUAACUUCCAAGCAGUGUUGAAGGUUGUUUCCUGUGUUUUUGUUUUGUUUUUUGUUUUGUUUUAAAUCUCCUAACUGCUAUAUGAUUUCACCUUUAAAGAGCAUAUUUGACACAACAGUUUAGAUGGUAUCUAAUUUUAAAGAUGAGGGAACAGAACCAGAGUCUCUUCUAGGUCACCUCGUGCGGCUGUUAUGACAACUGUGAGGUGAAAUGCCUUGGAGAAGUGAGAGUUUAUCCCAGACGCCAGGUCUCCUGCUAUGGUUGAAGAGUGCAACAGGCAAAUGUAACCAUUUGUUUUGAACUAAAACAUAGCUCAGGAGAGUACUGCUCAAUCGGUGCUGUUAUGCAGCUGUCUAGUGGUCCUCAAGUCCUGCAAGAUGUCUUGAUUUUAUUAAAAUUCACGUAACUGGUUAUUGUACAUCAUUGCAAUGGGUAAUAUCAGGUACAAAUCCUCUGGUUGCCAGGUCACAUUUAUGUGAAUUACAAAGGAUGGCAUAUUUCCUUAUUCUGCAGUAUGAAUUCCCUAUUGGUACUAACAUCGUUUGUGUUUUAGUUUGGUUGGUGGUGGGAUCUUGUUCUGUAGCCAAGGCUAUCUCAGACCUCACUACCUGAGGCUGGCCUUGAGCUUGUGGCAAUCGUGCCUCAGCAUCUUAAGUGGUGGAAUGACAGGUGUGCCAGCACACCUGGCUGGAUGUCACCACAGGCACAACAGAUACAUUUAACAGAAGACAGUCUUUGUUCUCUUCACUCCUCUGGCUUUCAGGCUUGUCACUUUAGCUAUAACCUCUAAGAAACCUUUCGUUCUGUGGAGGGGAUGGCCAUUAUCUAUCAUAGGCAUGCACUAGUGUAUGCACGUUGCUAGUACUGAAUUCUAGACUCUAUUCAUGAGAAAUGGGUAUUUAUUAACUAGUUGCUACUUAGCAAAUACGCUCUACACCUUGGCUUGAUUUUUACGUGAUUACUAACUAAGCCAACGAGUUAUAUAAGACCAAUUUCACUUGCAUUUUUUUUAAAAACUCCAUUAAAAGAGAAUUCUUAUUCUUGUAAUGACUUUGUCUUCACUGGUUAAAUUGACAUUUAGUUAUUGGGUUCUCUGGAGGAACAUAACUGAUAGUGUAUGUAAGAGGAUCUAGUAGAGUGGCUCACAGGCUGUGGUCCAGCUAGUCCAACAAUGGCUGUCUCCCAAUAAAAGGGCUGGAUGUCUCAGCUGUUCUUCAGUAAACACUGGAAUCCUGCAAAAACCGUUUCUCCUGCCAGUGAAGGAAUGCCCCAGCAGUAGAUGAACUUGCCCCUGAGGGUGAAGACAAGCUGGCAAAAAGCAGAAGCAUCCUUCUUCCAUGCCCUUUCCAUA
rnacentral:lncRNA from 1 species